GAAUAUUGGACAAUGGGGGGAACCCUGAUCCAGCCAUGCCGCGUGUGUGAAGAAGGCCUUUUGGUUGUAAAGCACUUUAAGCGAGGAGGAGGCUACUCUAGUUAAUACCUAGGGAUAGUGGACGUUACUCGCAGACUAAGCACAGGCUAACUCUGUGCCAGCAGCCGCGGUAAUACAGAGGGUGAAAGCGUAAUCGGAUUUACUGGGCGUAAGUCGCGCGUAGGUGGCCAAUUAAGUCAAAUGUGAAAUCCCCGAGCUUAACUUGGGAAUUGCAUUCGAUACUGGUUGGCUAGAGUAUGGGAGAGGAUGGUAGAAUUCCAGGUGUAGCGGUGAAAUGCGUAGAGAUCUGGAGGAAUACCGAUGGCGGAGGCAGCCAUCUGGCCUAAUACUGAUACUGAGGUGCGAAAGCAUGGGGAGCAAACAG
rnacentral:rRNA from 1 species